rnacentral:lncRNA from 1 species
UUAAGAACUGAUAUAUGCUACGACAUGGAUAAACGUUGAAAACAUUAUGCUAAGGAAAAAAAGCCAGUCACAAAAGACCACUUAUCAUAUGAUCCCAUUUAUAUGAAAUGUUCAGAAUAGGUAAAUCUACAGAGAUAGAAAACAGAUUAGAAGUUGUCAGGUGGUGAUAGGAUGGGGAAAUGGGAAGUGGCUACUAUGCUUAUGGGGUGAUAAGAAUGUUCUAGAAUUAGAUAAAGGUGAUGGGUGCACAAGUUUGUGACAACCCUACAAACCACUAAUUGUACUUUUUUUUUUUUUUUUUUUUUUUGAGACGGAGUCUUGCUCUGUUGCCCAGGCUGGAGUGCAGUGGCACGAUCUCGGCUCACUGCAAGCUCCGCCUCCCGGGUUCACGCCAUUCUCCUGCCUCAGCCUCCCGAGUAGCUGGGACUACAGGCGCCCGCUACCACGCCCGGCUAAUUUUUUUGUAUUUUUAGUAGAGACGGGGUUUCACCGUGUUAGCCA